rnacentral:rRNA from 1 species
AACGAACGCUGGCGGCAUGCCUAACACAUGCCAGUCGAACGAGACCUUCGGGUCUAGUGGCGCACGGGUGCGUAACGCGUGGGAACCUGCCCUUAGGUUCGGAAUAACUCCCCGAAAGGGGUGCUAAUACCGGAUAAUGUCUUCGGACCAAAGAUUUAUCGCCUUUGGAUGGGCCCGCGUUGGAUUAGCUAGUUGGUAGGGUAAAAGCCUACCAAGGCGACGAUCCAUAGCUGGUCUGAGAGGAUGAUCAGCCACACUGGGACUGAGACACGGCCCAGACUCCUACGGGAGGCAGCAGUGGGGAAUAUUGGACAAUGGGCGAAAGCCUGAUCCAGCAAUGCCGCGUGAGUGAUGAAGGCCUUAGGGUUGUAAAGCUCUUUUAGCCGGGAUGAUAAUGACAGUACCGGGAGAAUAAGCUCCGGCUAACUCCGUG